GACGAACGCUGGCGGCGUGCUUAACACAUGCAAGUCGAACGGAAAGGCCCUGCUUUUGUGGGGUGCUCGAGUGGCGAACGGGUGAGUAACACGUGAGUAACCUGCCCUUGACUUUGGGAUAACUUCAGGAAACUGGGGCUAAUACCGGAUAGGAGCUCCUGCUGCAUGGUGGGGGUUGGAAAGUUUCGGCGGUUGGGGAUGGACUCGCGGCUUAUCAGCUUGUUGGUGGGGUAGUGGCUUACCAAGGCUUUGACGGGUAGCCGGCCUGAGAGGGUGACCGGCCACAUUGGGACUGAGAUACGGCCCAGACUCCGACGGGAGGCAGCGGUGGGGAAUAUUGCACAAUGGGCGGAAGCCUGAUGCAGCAACGCCGCGUGCGGGAUGACGGCCUUCGGGUUGUAAACCGCUUUCGCCUGUGACGAAGCGUGAGUGACGGUAAUGGGUAAAGAAGCACCGGCUAACUACGUG
rnacentral:rRNA from 1 species